UAGGGAAUCUUCCGCAAUGGACGAAAGUCUGACGGAGCAACGCCGCGUGAGCGAAGAAGGUCUUCGGAUCGUAAAGCUCUGUUGUCAGGGAAGAACAAGUGCCGUUCGAACAGGGCGGUACCUUGACGGUACCUGACGAGGAAGCCACGGCUAACUACGUGCCAGCAGCCGCGGUAAUACGUAGGUGGCAAGCGUUGUCCGGAAUUAUUGGGCGUAAAGCGCGCGCAGGCGGUUCCUUAAGUCUGAUGUGAAAUCUCGCGGCUCAACCGCGAGCGGCCAUUGGAAACUGGGGAACUUGAGUGCAGGAGAGGGGAGCGGAAUUCCACGUGUAGCGGUGAAAUGCGUAGAGAUGUGGAGGAACACCAGUGGCGAAGGCGGCUCUCUGGCCUGUAACUGACGCUGAGGCGCGAAAGCGUGGGGAGCGAACA
rnacentral:rRNA from 1 species